UUUAGUUUUAGUCCCUCGAAAACACAACCGCGUGCACUAUAUUUACUAUUAUUGGGCAUGCACCGUUCAUCUUCUUGACACUCACGUGGGCGAGUGGAGCGAGGCUGAUAAGGCCGAUUCAGAGUACACCCGCCAGUUUUGCCUGCAUGCUUUUUCUAAGCCACUCCAGAGGAAGUAUUAUAAUGUUAAUAAGAACUAGGAGCUUCCCUCCACAGCAGAGCAAAAGGCUAAGAAAAAAACACAUAUUCGCAAUACUAUACGGGAUUGGUUUAGAGUUUUUCGUUCUCGUUUGCACUUUUCUA